AUUGAACGCUGGCGGCAUGCUUUACACAUGCAAGUCGAACGGUAACAGGCCUUCGGGUGCUGACGAGUGGCGAACGGGUGAGUAAUGCAUCGGAACGUACCCCGCGGUGGGGGAUAACGCAGCGAAAGCUGUGCUAAUACCGCAUGUGAUCUGAGGAUGAAAGCGGGGGACCGAGCAGCAAUGUUUGGCCUCGCGCCUUUGGAGCGGCCGAUGUCGGAUUAGCUAGUUGGUGGGGUAAAGGCCUACCAAGGCGACGAUCCGUAGCUGGUCUGAGAGGACGACCAGCCACACUGGGACUGAGACACGGCCCAGACUCCUACGGGAGGCAGCAGUGGGGAAUUUUGGACAAUGGGCGCAAGCCUGAUCCAGCAAUGCCGCGUGCGGGAAGAAGGCCUUCGGGUUGUAAACCGCUUUUGGCAGGAACGAAACGGUGUCCGCUAAUACCGGGCGCUAAUGACGGUACCUGCAGAAUAAGCACCGGCUAACUACGUG
rnacentral:rRNA from 1 species